rnacentral:rRNA from 1 species
UACGUAGGGGGCAAGCGUUGUCCGGAUUUAUUGGGCGUAGAGAGCGUGUAGGCGGCUUGGUAGGUCUGCUGUGAAAACUCGGGGGCUCAACCCCGAGACGUCGGUGGAAACCACCUGGCUAGAGUCCGGAAGAGGAGAGUGAAAUUCCUGGUGUAGCGGUGAAAUGCGCAGAUAUCAGGAAGAAUAUCCGUGGCGAAGGCGGCUCUCUGGUACGGCACUGACGCUGAGACGCGAAAGCGUGGGGAGCGAACAGG